AGUGAACGCUGGCGGUAGGCCUAACACAUGCAAGUCGAACGGCAGCACAGUAAGAGCUUGCUCUUACGGGUGGCGAGUGGCGGACGGGUGAGGAAUACAUCGGAAUCUACUUUUUCGCGGGGGAUAACGUAGGGAAACUUACGAUAAUACCGCAUACGACCUACGGGUGAAAGCAGGGGAUCUUCGGAACUUGCGCGAUUGAAUGAGCCGAUGUCGGAUUAGCUAGUUGGCGGGGUAAAGGCGCACCAAGGCGACGAUCCGUAGCUGGUCUGAGAGGAUGAUCAGCCACACUGGAACUGAGACACGGUCCAGACUCCUACGGGAGGCAGCAGUGGGGAAUAUUGGACAAUGGGCGCAAGCCUGAUCCAGCCAUGCCGCGUGGGUGAAGAAGGCCUUCGGGUUGUAAAGCCCUUUUGUUGGGAAAGAAAAGCAGCAGGUUAAUACCCCGCUGUUCUGACGGUACCCAAAGAAUAAGCACCGGCUAACUUCGUG
rnacentral:rRNA from 1 species